GGAGGCAGCGCGGCCGGAGCAGAGAGCCGGGGCUGGCGGGGACAGCGAGGCGCGGGCGGCGGAGCGGCGGGAUGCGGCGGUGCCGGGGCGCAGGGCUGGCGGGGCUGGCCGCCGUGCUCCUGGUGGCUGCGGGCAGAGCCCAGGUGCAGCAGGAGCCGUCGGCAGAGACCACCGAGGGCAUCGGCAUCAGCAUCAACUGCUCACACCCCAACAUCCAAACCAGCGAGUUCAUCCAGUGGUACCGUCAGCUCCCGGGCCGAGGCCUCACAUUCAUCGCGCUCAAUCACAAAGGGUCCAAAGAUGUGGCGGAGCCGCCGGGCCGGCUGUCGGUGGCGGCAGACCGCCGGUCCAGCGCCCUGUGGCUCGCCUGGCCCCGGCUCGGGGACGCGGCGGUGUAUUACUGCGCCCUGGGAGACACGGGGAGACGAGCCGGGGCUGCGGCCGCGCAGGAACCGCCGCGGGCGGGGCCGGGCGUGUGGGGCGGGGGGACAGCCCCGGGCGGGCCCGCCAGGGGGCGCUGCCGCUCCGCCCGCCGGGACCGCCUCGCCCCGUCCGACCCGGCGGGUUCGCCCGCCCGAUCUCCGCUUCCACCGGCACCUGCAGCGGCACCAGCCAGUGACCUAA